rnacentral:rRNA from 1 species
UACGGAGGGUGCAAGCGUUGUUCGGAAUUAUUGGGCGUAAAGAGCUCGUAGGCGGUUUGUCGCGUCUGCCGUGAAAGUCCGGGGCUCAACUCCGGAUCUGCGGUGGGUACGGGCAGACUAGAGUGAUGUAGGGGAGACUGGAAUUCCUGGUGUAGCGGUGAAAUGCGCAGAUAUCAGGAGGAACACCGAUGGCGAAGGCAGGUCUCUGGGCAUUAACUGACGCUGAGGAGCGAAAGCAUGGGGAGCGAACAGG